CUGACUCUGAAAUCUUCUAAAUGGUACCCACUUUAUUUAGAACGUUUUAGGGUCAAAU
rnacentral:pre_miRNA from 1 species